rnacentral:rRNA from 1 species
UGGGGAAUAUUGGACAAUGGGCGCAAGCCUGAUCCAGCAAUGCCGCGUGUGUGAAGAAGGCCUUCGGGUUGUAAAGCACUUUUAUCAGGAACGAAAAGCGGAGGGUUAAUACCCAUCCGUGCUGACGGUACCUGAGGAAUAAGCACCGGCUAACUUCGUGCCAGCAGCCGCGGUAAUACGUAGGAGACGAACGUUAUCCGGAGUUACUGGGCGUAAAGGGCGUGUAGGCGGUUUGUUAAGUCUGGCGUGAAAGCUCUCGGCUAAACCGGGAGAGGUCGUUGGAUACUGGCGAACUAGAGGAUGGUAGAGGCGUGUGGAAUUCCGGGUGUAGUGGUGAAAUGCGUAGAGAUCCGGAGGAACACCAGUGGCGAAGGCGACACGCUGGGCCAUACCUGACGCUAAAGCGCGACAGCAUGGGGAGCAAACGGGAUUAGAUACCCAUGUAGUCCCUG